rnacentral:lncRNA from 1 species
UUAAUUUUCUAUAUCAUGAUCUUAUAAGUUUUUCCCUCAGUCCUCAUGUCAUCCUAUUAUCUUCAUUUACAGAUGAACAAAGAAGGUGUAGAAGGGUUAACAAGAUUUCACAUUUGGUUUGCAGCAGAGCCAGGAUUUGAACUGAGGCACCGGGUUCAACUUCUGAUGUUAGGCCAUCUGAUGUUAGAACCAGAGCUUUUCACCAUUACACCAUGUUGCAACUNCAAAAACAAAAACAAAUAAUUCUAGGAAGACUUGAAACAGGGGACAAGGCCACUAUAGAUCAAAGCAGGAUAUGUGGACUUUUUUUUUUUAAUUUUUUAUUGUUGGCUGUUCAAAACAUUACAUAGUUAGGAUAUGUGGACUUUUAAAAACUAAUCUUAGAAUUUGGUUGUUUACAUAUACCAAAUUAAUUCUUUCAUUUCUAGAAUCCUAGACAAUUGCCUAAUUUGGGGAAUGUUAAAAACCAACAUGCUGGGUCUAGGGGUUGAGGCUCAGUGGCAGAGUGCUUACGUUGCACAUGUGAAGCACUGGGUUCUAUCCUCAGCACCACAUAAAAAUAAAUAAACAAAAUAAAGAUAUUGUGUCCAUGUAUAACUAAAAAUAAAUAAAUAAAUAAAAAACAAAACCACCACCAACAAAAAAAAACACAUGUUGUCCCUAAGCGUUUCUUAUAAACUCAAAAAGAAGAGAAGGUACAAAAAUGCAAAGAUUAGCAGUUCGGAUUUUUUUCUGUUAAGUAACAGAUUUAAUUAUUUGGUGUGGUAUGGUUUCUAAAUUAUUUGCAUAUAUAUUUUCUCAUUGGAUGUCUAUAAUUACCAGUGAAUUAAAGGAGAGAGAAUGGAACUAGUAUUUAUUAAAGCACUUGCUAUGUUGCAGGCUCAGUACUAGAUAUGUUUAUGCAUUUUUUUUACUUGUUGAUGUAAAAACCCUGUUUCUGUGACUCAGAAGUUAAGUAAUUUGCUGACAAUCAUAGAGUUAGAUUUGAAAACAGAUCUCUCGAAUACAUAUGACUUAUUGCUUCUCAGGUAUAUUGAGUAUUUUCUCAAUUUUGUAGAAUGAGAAACCUUCUAAGAUCAUGCAUUUGUUCAUUCAAUUAUUCACUUCACAGACAUUUGUAUUUGUACUUUAUAUUACUAUAGACACCUUUUGAAUUUUUAUCUUGCAAAUUAGAUCACCACAUGAGAUAAUGUUUGACCUGUGAUUAAAACUGUUUUCUGACUUCUAGUCUAGUACUUCUUUCUUCUUGACUUCUUUCCUAGUAGAUUCUAUUCAUUUUUAAUGGGUAAUUAAGUAUUCUUUUUCAUACUACUUUCCUUUUCCUUUGUUUCAAACUGUGUGUGUGUGUGUGUGUGUGUGUGUGUAUGCCUAAGAUCUUUGAUCCAAAUCAUACUGUUUAAGAAUUUUUGAUUUAUCAUAAGUCAUCAUCGUCUUUUUUUUAAACCAGGGAUUGAACCCAGGGUUGUUUCAUCCCUGUGUCACAUCCCCAGCCCUUUUUAUUUGUUGAGACAGGGUCUUACGAAGUUGCUGAGGCUGGCUUUUAACCUGAGAUCCUCCUUCCUCAGCUUCCUUAGUCUCUGGGAUUACAGGCUUGCUCCAGUGCACCUGACUUACUACAUCUGGGAGAAUUAUCUUGUUAAGCAACAUUAUUGUUGUUGUUGUUGUUAUUAUUAUUAUUAUUAUUAUUGUUGUUGUUGUUGUCAGUGGUGCUGGGGAUUGAACCCAGAGCCUUAUGCAUGCAAGGCAAGAACUCUACCAACUGAGCUAUAUCCCCAGCCCUUGUUUUGGCUUCUCAGGAAGUUUUUUUUCACUCACGGGCUUGGACUAGUUGACUUUUUCUGGUUUAGCAUUGGAAAGCAAUAGGUUGGGAGCAUAGGGAAGUCUGGCCUGGAAAGAGAGAAAAACAUUCAUAUAAACUUAGUGCCUGACAAUAAAAAUGAGAAAAGUUCUGGGCUGGGGUUGUGGCUCAAAGGUAGAAUGCUUGCCUACUGUGUGUGAAGCACCAGGUUCGAUCUUCAGCACCACAUAAAAAUAAAAUAAAGAUAUUAUGUCCACCUAUAACUAAAAAAUAAAUAUUAAAAAAAAAGGUGAGAAAAGUUCUGAUCUACACAAAGCAGCCUGUACUUUGGAAGAGAAAUAGGUAGGGAUUGGGGAUGGAGAUCUGUGUUAGAACUCUUGCGUGUGUCAGGCCCAGAGUUCAGUCCCCAGCUCUGUCAAAAAAAAAAAAAAAAAGUUAAUUACUCAUAUCUGAUAGUUUUAAGUGGGUAUUUGAUUUGUAAUGUUAAUUGUUUACUGUAUAGUUACUAUGUGCUAAAGAAAUUAAUUUUCUAUAUCAUGAUCUUAUAAGUUUUUCCCUCAGUCCUCAUGUCAUCCUAUUAUCUUCAUUUACAGAUGAACAAAGAAGGUGUAGAAGGGUUAACAAGAUUUCACAUUUGGUUUGCAGCAGAGCCAGGAUUUGAACUGAGGCACCGGGUUCAACUUCUGAUGUUAGGCCAUCUGAUGUUAGAACCAGAGCUUUUCACCAUUACACCAUGUUGCAACUCAAACUUGGGGUGUCAAAAUGUAGUGUGCAUAGGAUGUUAAUUGUGUCUAGUCACAUAGGUUGUUAAAAAAUAUUUCUAAGCACAUAAAGUAUGAGUUAUAUAAAAUAACUAAAUCUGAUUACAUCUCAUCAAUGUGCUAGCCAUUAUAAUUUAAAUAAUUAUUAAAAUUGAUCAGUUAAUAAGUAUUCAUUAAGUGCCAGUCAUGUGCUGCGUAUUAGUGUAGGCCAAUGAAAUUCAAAUAGUAUUUGGAGGUAUCUUGUGACGGGUCUUGGAGAUACAUUGUUUGCAUAUUAUAUAUAUAUGUAUAUAUAUAUAUAUAUAUGUAUGUAUAUAUAUAUGUAUGUAUAUAUAUAUGUAUGUAUAUAUAUACACACACACAUUUAUUGAUAAUUUUUAUAUAUAUAAAAUUUGUGUGUGGGGGUGUAUUGUGUGUGGGGCACUUUACUACUGAACUACUUCAUUGGUCCUUUUAAUUUUUUAUUUUGAGACAAGGUCUCACUAAGUUGCUAAGGGUCUUGCUAAGUUGCUGAGAUUGACCUUCAACUUUGGCCUCUACCUCCUGAAUUGCUGGGAUUACAGGCUAUAGUAAUACUCUUACUGCAGUAUUUUCCUUUUCCCUGACUUCAUGACUUGUGAAAACAUUAUUGCUUUAAUGGCUAAUGGAAUAUGUAAUAGUAUAUUCUUUUUUCCUUUUUCUUUGAGAUAUAGUUGAUAGUAUCAUAAAAUUUAUGUUUAAAAAAAUACACAGUUCAAGCUGGGCACAGUGGCACACUCCUGUAAUGCCAGUGACUCAAGCUGGGUGUGGUGGUGUAUGCCUAUAAUCCUAGUGAUUCUGGAGGCUGAGGCAGGAGGAUCACAAGUUGGAGGUUAGCCUGGGGCAACUUAGAAUUUGCCUCAAAAUAAAAUUUAAAAAGGGCAGAGGAUGUACCUCAGUGGUAGAGCACUCCUGGAUUCAAUCCCUAGUAUGGCUAAAGUAAAACAAAACAAACAAAAAUAUCUCCCCCUAAAAUCACAAUUCAUUGGUUUUAGUAUCGUUGUUAGGUUGUGAAACUACCUAUGUAGUUCCAGAAUAUUUUUAUUAGCCCCAAAAGAAACCCUGUACCAUUAAUAGUUAUUGUUUAUUAUUUCCUUCCCCAAGCCUUUGGCAACCAGUAAGCUACUUUCUGUCUCUAAAGAUAUGCCUUUUCUAGACAUUUCAUAUAAAUUAAAUAAUACAGUAUGUGGCUUUUAUACCCAUCUUCUUUGAUUAAGCUUAAUAUUUCCAAGUCUUGGCCAUACUGUAUCAUGUAUUAACACUUUAUUCCUUUUUAUGGGUGAAAGUAUUAUAUUCUGUGGACACACUUUGUUGAUUUAUCCAUUCGUCAUUUAAUGGAUAUUGGGAUUGUUUCUACUUGUCUGUUAUGAACAAUGCUGCUAUGAACAUUGUUUAAAAGUUUUUGUAUGGGCUGGGCAUGGUGGCAUACACCUGUAAUCCCAUCGGCUUGGGAGGCUGAGGCAGGAGGAUUGCAGCUUCAAAGCCAGCCUCAGCAAAAGCGAGGUGUGUGAGGCUUCCAGUUUCUCUAUAUUCUUACUAUCACUUGAUAGUGUACAUCUUUUAAAAUAAAUUGUAGCAAAUCUAGUGGGUGAAGUGGUAAUUUAUGGUGGUUUUUUUUUUUUGUUUUUUGUUUGGUACCAGGGUUUGAACCCAGGGGUGCUUAACCACUGACUGCAUUCCCAGCCCUUUUAAAAAUAUUUUAUUUAGAGACAGGGUCUUUUUUAAAUUUUUUUUUUUUUAGAGAGAGGGAGAGAGAGAGAGGGAAUUUUAAUAUUUAUUUUUUAGUUUUCGGUGGACACAACAUCUUUGUUUAUAUGUGGUGCUGAGGAUUGAACCCGGGCUGCACGCAUGCCAGGCAAGCGUGCUACCGCUUGAGCCACAUCCCCAGCCCGAGACAGGGUCUUGUUGAGUUGCUUAGGGCCUUGUUAAGUUGCUUUGAACUUUCAAUCCUUCUGUCCCAGCCUCUUGAGCUGCUGGGAUUAUAAGCUUGUGCUACCGCACCUGGUUUAUGGUGGUUUUGAUAUGUAUUUCCAUAAUAAUUAAUGAUGUUGAACAUCUCUUAAUUUGCCUCUUGCCUAAUGUAUAUUUUCUUUGGAAAGAUGUCUAUUCACAUCCUUUGCCCAUUUAAAAAAUUGGGUUGUCUUUAAUAUUGUGUUUUAAAGAAUUCUUUAUAUAUUUUGGAUAUUAGAUCUUUAUUAAAUGCUUGAUUUGC